UACGUAGGGUGCAAGCGUUGUCCGGAAUUAUUGGGCGUAAAGAGCUCGUAGGCGGCUCGGCACGUCCGUUGUGAAAUCGCCCGGCUCAACUGGGCGGGGUCAGCGGAUACGGUCGAGCUUGAGCAAGCUAGGGGGCAAUGGAAUUCCCGGUGUAGUGGUGGAAUGCGUAGAUAUCGGGAGGAACACCAGUGGCGAAGGCGGUUGCCUGGAGCUUUGCUGACGCUGAUGCGCGAAAGCGUGGGGAGCGAUCCGG
rnacentral:rRNA from 1 species